UUAUGUGAUGACCCAACGACACGAAAGGCAUUCCUCAGACUUAAUAACCAUGUGGAAUCUGUCUCUUACAAGUUUCAGCCUUGUCUGAUU
rnacentral:snoRNA from 1 species